UUGACGGGGCCGCACAGCGGUGAGCAUGUGGUUUAAUUCGAUGCAACGCGAAAACCUUACCUGCCCUUGACAUGUCAGGAAUCUUCCAGAGAUGGGGAGUGCCUUCGGGAGCCUGAACACAGGUGCUGCAUGGCUGUCGUCAGCUCGUGUCAUGAGAUGUUGGGUUAAGUCCCGUAACGAGCGCAACCCUUGUCCUUAGUUGCCAGCGGUUUGGCCGGGAACUCUAAGGAGACUGCCGGUGAUAAACCGGAGGAAGGUGGGGACGACGUCAAGUCAUCAUGGCCCUUAUGGGCAGGGCUACACACGUGCUACAAUGGCCAGUACAGAAGGUCGCCAACCCGCGAGGGGGAGCUAAUCCUACAAAGCUGGUCGUAGUCCGGAUCGCAGUCUGCAACUCGACUGCGUGAAGUCGGAAUCGCUAGUAAUCGCGAAUCAGCAUGUCGCGGUGAAUACGUUCCCGGGCCUU
rnacentral:rRNA from 1 species